GACGAACGCUGGCGGCGUGCUUAACACAUGCAAGUCGAACGAUGAAAGUGGAGCUUGCUCCGCUGGAUUAGUGGCGAACGGGUGAGUAACACGUGGGCAACCUGCCCCAGACUCUGGGAUAACUCCUCGAAAGAGGUGCUAAUACCGGAUACGAACUCCUUGGGCAUCCUUGGAGUUGGAAAGUUUUUCGGUCUGGGAUGGGCCCGCGGCCUAUCAGCUUGGUGGUGGGGUAGUGGCCCACCAAGGCGACGACGGGUAGCCGGCCUGGGAGGGCGGCCGGCCACACUGGGACUGAGGCACGGCCCAGACUCCUACGGGAGGCAGCAGUGGGGAAUAUUGCGCAAUGGGCGAAAGCCUGACGCAGCGACGCCGCGUGAGGGAUGACGGCCUUCGGGUUGUAAACCUCUUUCAGCAGGGAAGAAGCGAAAGUGACGGUACCUGCAGAAGAAGCACCGGCUAACUACGUGCCAGCCGCCGCGGUAA
rnacentral:rRNA from 1 species